UACUACUUAACUGGUCGGCAAGCCACCAACAACAAGCCAUCGAUCAAUAGAUCCAUAGCCCACAAUUGCCAGUGAACAUUCACUAGUCGUUUAGGCCGCGUUUGUGUACAUUUCCCCAAUUUGCUGCUGUUUGUACUCCCAUUGUGGUUGGAUGGCAGACAAGGCCUUUAUCAAAAGAUCAUUUGUGGCGACGCCAAACUCACCACAUUAUUCAUCCAUUGCGGCGUAUUAUCGUCUUAUCAGGUCAGUAAACAAUAUAAAACACAAACGGACGUAGCACAUAGAAA